rnacentral:rRNA from 1 species
GUCUAUGGCCAUGCCACCCUGAAUGUGCCUGAUCUCGUCUGAUCUUGGAAGCUAAGCAGCGUUGGGCCUGGUUAGUACUUGGGAGACCACCUAGGAAUAUCAGGUGCUGUAGGCA